rnacentral:rRNA from 1 species
UACGUAGGGGGCAAGCGUUGUCCGGAUUUAUUGGGCGUAAAGAGCUCGUAGGCGGUGUGUCGCGUCGGCCGUGAAAACCUGCAGCUUAACUGUGGGCUUGCGGUCGAUACGGGCAUCACUGGAGUUCGGCAGGGGAGACUGGAAUUCCUGGUGUAGCGGUGAAAUGCGCAGAUAUCAGGAGGAACACCGGUGGCGAAGGCGGGUCUCUGGGCCGUAACUGACGCUGAGGAGCGAAAGCAUGGGGAGCGAACAGG